rnacentral:pre_miRNA from 1 species
CGUGCACCGGUGGGGUCCCUCAGCCUGGCCUGUGACCUCUCACAACCCAGGACCCUUCAGGGGAUGUUGGAGAGCUGGUUCCAGCCAAUCCCGCAGGCCAGGCCGAGGGACCCCACUGGUGCACG